rnacentral:rRNA from 1 species
AUAUCAGUCAUGCAUAGCAUAUCAAUAAGCGGAGGAAAAGAAACUAACAAGGAUUCCCUUAGUAACGGCGAGUGAAGCGGGAAGAGCUCAAAUUUGAAAUCUUCAAGGUUCUACCUUGACGAAUUGUAGUUUAUAGAAGUGUUUUCUGUUAGUAGAGUGGCGAAAGUUCUUUGGAAUAGGACAUCAUAGAGGGUGAGAAUCCCGUAUUUGGUCAUUCUUUCUAGCUUUGUGAUACACUUUCAACGAGUCGGAUUGUUUGGGAAUGCAGUCCAAAAUGGGUGGUAAAUUUCAUCUAAAGCUAAAUAUUGGCGAGAGACCGAUAGCGAACAAGUACCGUGAGGGAAAGAUGAAAAGAACUUUGAAAAGAGAGUUAAACAGUACGUGAAAUUGUCAAAAGGGAAGCGUUUGACACCAGUGUUGUUUUUCCGAAAAUCAAUUAAAAAUGGCGGGAUUUUGUGUUGUAUUGACUUUAUCAGCUUUCUGCACUUUUUUCAUGUCUUAUUUAAUGCACUUUUCAGUUUAACAAGUCAACAUCAAUUUCUUUUGUUGUAAAAGGGUAUGAGGAAGGUGGCUUUCUCUUCGGCGCAAGUGUUUAUAGCCUUGUACCUCUGCAAUCGGAGAGAUUGAGGACUGCAGCGUAGACUCCUCGGGGUUAGAUACAUUUGUGCUAAGUUAUAGCCUUUUCAUAGACAACUUGUUGACUAUGCUUCAGUCAUGUAGCUUACUCGCUAUAGCUAUUUUACCUACGCUUAGGAUGUUGAUGUGAUACUGCGAGCA